rnacentral:rRNA from 1 species
UGGGGAAUUUUGGACAAUGGGCGAAAGCCUGAUCCAGCAAUGCCGCGUGUGUGAAGAAGGCCUUCGGGUUGUAAAGCACUUUUGUCCGGAAAGAAAUCCUUGGCUCUAAUACAGUCGGGGGAUGACGGUACCGGAAGAAUAAGCACCGGCUAACUACGUGCCAGCAGCCGCGGUAAUACGUAGGGUGCAAGCGUUAAUCGGAAUUACUGGGCGUAAAGCGUGCGCAGGCGGUUUGCUAAGACCGAUGUGAAAUCCCCGGGCUCAACCUGGGAACUGCAUUGGUGACUGGCAGGCUAGAGUAUGGCAGAGGGGGGUAGAAUUCCACGUGUAGCAGUGAAAUGCGUAGAGAUGUGGAGGAAUACCGAUGGCGAAGGCAGCCCCCUGGGCCAAAUACUGACGCUCAUGCACGAAAAGCGUGGGGGAGCAAAACAGGAUUAGAUACCCUGGUAGUCCACGCCCCUAAAACGAUGUCGACUAGUUGUUGGGGGAUUCAUUUCCUUAGUAACGUAGCUAACGCGUGAAGUUGACCGCCUGGGGAGUACGGUCGCAAGAUUAAAACUCAAAGGAAUUGAC